UGCCCUACUACUCUCCGUUAGACACAGAGGCAGAGGAGCCCUCCCAGCAGCCUGACCGAAAAUCUGUCACAGUUAAUGAUUUGAUGCGUCUAAAUGGGAUCUCUGUAACCUUCCUGUCUAUGGAUUCACUUCACAAACUGCCAGAAAAACAGAAAUACUCCCACUUCUUCAACACCAUCUACUUCUCUGCCAGCUGCGUGCACCAGUUGGGCCCGGCUAUGGGACAGAUUGCAGCACCAG